ACUUCGGCCAAGUUCGGGAAAUUCUAUUUUUUAAUAACACUUACUAUAAACAGAGAAUUUAAGCUGUCUGCGACUAUUCUUUAUUUACUAGUAUAUGGUGUCUCUUAUUUUUGUUAAAAAAAAAGAAUAACCGUUGUUUAAUGUAUGUCUUGUGCUCUGUGAUAAAAAAAAUAUAUAUAUAAAAUUGAUAUUGGUACAAGGUUCUGAAAGAGAUAAUGUAAUAUUGCAAUUUUCAGAAAACCUAUGACACUGUAUACCUUGUAGAUAAAGACAUGUACAGCCUAAAGUUUAAAUAAACCUAGGAGUUCAUUAGAAAAAGAAAGAAGAAUUCUGAGAACCUCUAUGCAGCAAAUUAGAUAUAGAUCGGUGUACUUUGAUCGAUACAGAUUCACAUAUGCAAUCAUUUUCAGAAAUUUUACCUUGUAACCUGGGACAGUCAAUACAGGAAGCACUAAAAAUAACUAUUGUAUUUGAAGAGAUUUCAGAAAACUAAAUUAAACCUUGACAUUCUUUAUACCUGACAGAGUUUAAAUAACAGUGCAUAAAAUGUCGAUAUUAUCGUGAAUAUAUUGUCAGCAAAAGGUUUACAAUGUUUGCUUUUUUAAUGAUGGAAAAUCAUGUUUUUAAAUGUAAGGGCGUUGGGCAAUUUUACGAAUUAAAGAAAAUCUUACAAAUUGCAGACCCCGCAGAAAUAAAUUUUAUUGCACAUAAUAUAGAAACUUAAGGGAAAAGUUCAUUCAAUUUUUCUUCAUUCGGUUGUUCUCUAUUGCUCAUUGUUUCGUAUGAAAGAAUGCCCAAAAAAGUCAAUGAUUUAUUUAAAUGCAGUUGCAUGUGAUAAAAAAGCUUAAAAUUAUUGAUUAAAUUAUUGAAGCUGGUUAAAAUAUCCUAGUUUGCUUGCUUAAGGCGAGAAAACUUUUAACAAAUAUUACUAGGAUUUUAAAAUAGCCUACAUCACAAUUCACGAUAAUUAAAUGGAAAACCCUUGAAUUACCUGGCAUUAUUUAUAACUACAUAUAUAUAUUGCUAAAAUUGAUUUCGGAAAAUGAAAGACCAGGACAUUGAUAAAAACUGGGCUCAUUUCUGUUGCUAGAUAUGAAGCAAUGCGCGUUGAUGCAUGAAGUAUAUUUAAAAAAAAAAAUAUUCAUAACUGCACCUUGCACUCCGACACCCAUUGUUAAUAUGUUAUCUAACGAUUAUUCCAGUUCUUAAAGUUGAAAUUAAUAACUGCUCCGUUUUCAGAAAAUAAAAUCACCUAAAAGGGAUUUCAUCACCAAACUUCACAUAGAAUAGGUUACAGAAACGUUUACAUAUGACAUAUGUACUGAUCUUGUUUUAAAGAAAAAGUAAAUAAUAAAUUCUAGACAAUGGGGUUAAGAAAUUAUGAAAUUAAAGAUAAAGUAAGUGGUACCCACAUGUAACAAUGCAUUUAGUUUGUUAACAUUAUACACAGAAAUAGAAUGUUUUUAAAAGAAAAAAAAACAUUUUGAUCAUGUAAUCUUUUGAGUCCCAAACCUCAAUGAAUCCGAAUCAUUGACCCCGAGGCCACAUAAAAUUCAAUUUUUAAUGAGACAUCCUAGUUCAUCAUAAAUCAUGCAUAAAUGAUUAUUAGUUUAUUGGCAUAAUACACAGGAAGAGAAAAAAAUGUCAACUGACUUUGGGACCAUAUAUUUUUAUCCCAGGAACCUUUGCAUUUUUUAACUAUGCACUUUUGUUUCACAUUAUACCCAGGAGAGAUGAUAUUUAGAGAAGGAUAUGGAAAUAAUGAGCAGUAUUCAAUAUCAAAGUCCAUAAAACAAUACAAAAUAGAAGCAUAGGAAACACGGACCUCCGAAACAUCAGAGGUGGGAUAAGAUGCCAUGGAGGCGUGAGCAUCCCCUGCCGACCGGUCACACCCGCCGUGUGCUCCUUGUCAUGAUCGUGAAAUAACGGAAAAAUCCGUCGUCAAUUCGGUGUAAUGUAAAUAAUUGACUAACAAUACGUAUGAAAAACGAACGACAGCAUGUGACUCAAUGAUAAAUUGUAUUUGCUGACAAGAUCAUUUUAUCGACCAUAGAACUUACAUGUACGAAACGAUUGCUUUAAACGAGACUGCUGAUAUUCUUGUUUCAUCAACUUGCUUGUCAAUAAUUUACCUCGUUUUAGAAAUUGUUCAUACGUAGAGCAUGCUUUUGCUUAUCGAAUCAAUUGAGAUAUAUACACUCCGAAUAAUUCAAUUUAAUUUACAUUCACACGAGCCCCUAUCUAACAGCAAACAACUGAUCCUGGGACAAAGAGCUUCACAAUUUUGGUAGAGGGCUUUAUUGUUAUUUAUUCAUACCAACAAAUUGGCUACAUAAAGUCCAUGAGUAAAAUAGACUCUUAAAGAGUGCAAUAAUAGAUGUGGCUAGCCCUAUCAAAGAGGUUUAAUGCGGCAGAAGCCAUGAACUUAAGAUUUUUUUGUUCCGCAUCACCUGUAGAUGCUAUACGCCAAACUUUAUUUCAAUUAGUUCAGCUCUCUUAGAGAAGAAGCUGAUAUUGAACAAACUUAAACAUGCUAAGCACAUCACACAUGAAAGGAGAAGCAUGAAACAAGAUAUAACUGAGUCACCUAGUUUUUUUUUUUUUUUUUGUCGUGGAAUCAUGCUGAUAAAUGAUCUUUACAUAUUGGCAAAUAAAUCGUUACAUUUGAGUAAAUUGCUCUGAAUUUGAUGUUUGACCUUUGAACUUUAUUUACUCUUCAUAAUCUUCACAAUGCAUGGAUACAAUUAACAUCUUCAAAUCAACUUAUACUGUGACAGCAUUUUGAACAAUUUCGUUCUAAAGCAGAUAAAAUAACAAUGCUUUGUUCUUGAAUAAUCUAAUUUUACACUGUAUUCGCACAUAGCGAUGUUGAUCUCUAACACAAACAUUUAA